UACAGAGGUCUCAAGCGUUGUUCGGAUUCAUUGGGCGUAAAGGGUGCGUAGGUGGCGCGGUAAGUCGGGUGUGAAAUCUCGGAGCUUAACUCCGAAAUUGCAUUCGAUACUGCCGUGCUCGAGGACUGGAGAGGAGACUGGAAUUCAUGGUGUAGCAGUGAAAUGCGUAGAGAUCAUGAGGAAGACCAGUGGCGAAGGCGGGGUCUCUGGGACAGUUCCUGACACUGAGGCACGAAAGGC
rnacentral:rRNA from 1 species